UCAGAGCGAACGCUGGCGGCAGGCCUAACACAUGCAAGUCGAACGGACUCUUCGGAGUUAGUGGCGGACGGGUGAGUAACACGUGGGAACGUGCCUUUAGGUUCGGAAUAAGCUCGGGAAACUGGGUCUAAUACCGAAUGUGCCCUUCGGGGGAAAGAUUUAUCGCCUUUAGAGCGGCCCGCGUCUGAUUAGCUAGUUGGUGGUGUAAUGGACCACCAAGGCGACGAUCAGUAGCUGGUCUGAGAGGAUGACCAGCCACAUUGGGACUGAGACACGGCCCAAACUCCUACGGGAGGCAGCAGUGGGGAAUCUUGCGCAAUGGGCGAAAGCCUGACGCAGCCAUGCCGCGUGUAUGAUGAAGGUCUUAGGAUUGUAAAAUACUUUCACCGGUGAAGAUAAUGACUGUAGCCGGAGAAGAAGCCCCGGCUAACUUCGUGCCAGCAGCCGCGGUAAUACGAAGGGGGCUAGCGUUGCUCGGAAUUACUGGGCGUAAAGGGAGCGUAGGCGGACAUUUAAGUCAGGGGUGAAAUCCCAGAGCUCAACUCUGGAACUGCCUUUGAUACUGGGUGUCUUGAGUGUGAUAGAGGUAUGUGGAACUCCGAGUGUAGAGGUGAAAUUCGUAGAUAUUCGGAAGAACACCAGUGGCGAAGGCGACAUACUGGAUCAUUACUGACGCUGAGGCUCGAAAGCGUGGGGAGCAAACAGGAUUAGAUACCCUGGUAGUCCACGCCGUAAACGAUGAUUGCUAGUUGUCGGGGUGUUUACAUCUCGGUGACGCA
rnacentral:rRNA from 2 species